GCCGCGCCCCCUGUCUCUCCCUCCUCUGUGUUUGCUAUGUUCCAGAGAGGCGUGGGGGAAGUACAGAGUUUCGAAAGACGAGUCACAAGUAGCGCCCCGAAUUCCUCAAAACUGGAGUAUCUGAUGCGGGCAGAUUUCUCGGUUUCGUGAAUUAGUAUAGCAGGUGCCUCCGUUACGCCGGGCUGGGUGGAACAAUCACAAGCACAAAUCACGGAGCACAGGACCGAAGAGACGGCUGGCACGGAGCUCCCUGCGCGGGCAAGGGUCUGGCAUUUCUUCCUGUUACAGAGUGGCUUAUCUGGAAAGCCAACACUGAGGAGUUGUGUGUACAUAUGUUCAUGAGGGAUACCUGUGGGAUCAGACACGGAAGGAAGAAGGAAGCAGCACUGGGCAGAGGAAGCAGUUAGACUCCACCACAAGGCAAUUCCCCAAGAAGUUUGGAACUGAAAUGAAGGCGACAAGUCACAUGUCAUAAAAAUACAAGUUACAGUCCUUGAGCCUUGGAAAUGUGCGAUCCACUGGGAAGGUAGGUUUACCAAAUGCUCAGUGCGAAAGUGAGCAGAGUGAGCAGCAAUAAAUGUUCCACUGAUUCUUUCACCGAGCGGAUAAUUACAGCAUCCACCGUCUGUUAUUGCGGGCCCUGUCACACACAGGAGUGAGCAAGGCCUGCACAGAGCUCCCUACCCCGAGCUUGGUCUGGUGAGGGCCUGGACAGGAGAUCGGGCAGCUGCAGUCCUGCAUCUCCAGGCCUACGCUAGUGGGGAAGGACAGGAUAUUCAGGGAGCAAAUAAGAAGAGAACCUGAUCAGGAGUGAGCGGUGCGGAACGACCUUG